rnacentral:misc_RNA from 1 species
GAUGAAGAACGUAGCGAAAUGCGAUAAGUAAUGUGAAUUGCAGAAUUCAGUGAAUCAUCGAAUCUUUGAACGCACAUUGCGCCCGCCAGUAUUCUGGCGGGCAUGCCUGGUCGAGCGUCAUUUCAACCAUCAAGCCCUGCUUGCGUUGGGGUCCUGCGGCUGCCCGCAGGCCCUGAAAACCAGUGGCGGGCUCGCUAGUCACACCGAGCGCAGUAAUACAUCUCGCUUUGGGCGUGCGGCGGGUUCUUGCCGUUAAACACCCCCUUUUUACCAAGGUUGACCUCGGAUCAGGUAGGAAUACCCGCUGAACUUAAGCAUAUCAAUAAGCGGAGGA